CGUGUCCGAGGACACGUACUGCUUCUGCAGCGCCUUCACCGAUCCCACCAGCUUCUUCUUGAUCACCUGGUCAGCGGCAGACGUAACACCCCUUUAGGAGAUCCUGCAGUGGGACUGCUUCUCGCCACACACACACACACACACACACACACACACACACACACACACAAGCAACCACGCAGGCACACACAUCUAUGUGUGUGUCUAUACAGCAAAGCUCACACAAGCUAAUUAUACAAAACAAAGCCAGAGCACAGCGGUACUGAUGUUUUGGUUUUUUUUUUUUGCAAAGCUAUUUGUAUAUUUUUGUUUUUUAAACUGAACUUCAAAUGAAAACAACGACAAAAGAAACUGAACUUCAGUGAACUGACAUCCAUAUAAAUCUCGUGUUUAAAUACUGGUUCCAUCACAUUACAGCUAUGCGAGCUCGGGGAACCCACCCAGAGCAGCGGGGAAGCCAUCUACCUCACUCGCCUGACUACGAUUCUACCAAGAAGCAACAAGUGUUACUUUUGAACAAGAAAAAGGGAUCACAGUCUACACUGAGAAAGAUCCCAACUGGGCAGUCAGAGGCUCAGAGACGAAGGAAAAAUGAAAAGAAGACAAGGGCUCAGACGAGACUUACAUUAAACAAAGAAAUGGAUGACCUGGCUUCAUCGCUUUCGAAACACUCCAUUCACCAGUAAACAGCAACCUCCUCUUCUUGGAGACUUCCCCGCCAUCCGUGACAGCCUCGGUCUCUACAGCCUGAAUCCGAUCCUGUACCUGGCUAUGCAGAACAACAGGCUGGUGUUUAAGCCCUCCAGCUGCUGCCCCAGGUGAUGAGUCAGGGUUUUCAGUCGGAAACGAGUGACAGAGUUAUCUUCUGAUUCAGAAAGGCAGCUGAUCCUCCAGACAUGUGAGUGCUGAGUGAGUGAACAGCACCUCCCUCUACCUGAAGAAACUUGGGAGUUCUGGACAAGGGUCCUGUGAAGGGUGGGAUGGGUGUGUGUGUCUGGGGGUGAAGGCGACUAGGCCUUUGAAGCAAAUGAAUACCAGCUGGAGGGCAAGAAA